UCACUUAGUUUCGAUUUUUAUGAGUGGGUAUUUACUUAUUAUAUUUAUACGACAUAUUACAGCCAUUAAAGAAAAGCACAGAAGAGCGUGCCCAAAUGGCUGAAGAACGUGCUUUGGCAGCGGAAUUGUCGCUAAAAAUAUCAGACGAAAAAAUUAAAGCUCUCGAAAGAAACGGCAUGAAGUUAUCAAAACAUUUAUUAACAAAAAAUUAGUUAUCACGUGAUUAUUGUUUUUAAUGUUUUUAAAUAGUUUGAAUUAAACUUUUUCACGUAUUACUAAUAUUGCUAGUUGUUGCUUGUUAACAGUUACCGACAGCAACAGUUUACUGUAAUUUAAUCGUAAAUAUGAUUAAAUAAUGAUUAAAUAAUUGUAUAAGAUUAUAAAAAUUUAACUAUUUGUAGUUUCACUAAUGGCUAAGUAAGAACUACUUUUGAUUUAUAA
rnacentral:lncRNA from 1 species